GACGAACGCUGGCGGCGCGCCUAACACAUGCAAGUCGAACGAGCGAGAGAGAGCUUGCUUUCUUGAGCGAGUGGCGAACGGGUGAGUAACGCGUGAGGAACCUGCCUCAAAGAGGGGGACAACAGUUGGAAACGACUGCUAAUACCGCAUAAGCCCACGACCCGGCAUCGGGUUGAGGGAAAAGGAGCAAUCCGCUUUGAGAUGGCCUCGCGUCCGAUUAGCUAGUUGGUGAGGUAACGGCCCACCAAGGCGACGAUCGGUAGCCGGACUGAGAGGUUGAACGGCCACAUUGGGACUGAGACACGGCCCAGACUCCUACGGGAGGCAGCAGUGGGGAAUAUUGCACAAUGGGGCAAACCCUGAUGCAGCGACGCCGCGUGGAGGAAGAAGGUCUUCGGAUUGUAAACUCCCGUUGUUGAGGAAGAUAAUGACGGUACUCAACAAGGAAGUGACGGCUAACUACGUG
rnacentral:rRNA from 1 species